GUCCCUUCAUAAAAUUUUCUUCAUAAAAUUUUAAAAUCUGUUCUUAUCAGUUUAACAGCAGAUAUGUUCUCUGUCUGAGAACUCUCUGUUAAAUGUAUUUUUUGGAACUAGAAGAUGGAGUAGGGGCUUGCUCCAUCUGCUCCCUUCAUCAGCCUGGUAUUGCAGCGAUUCCAGGAAUGGUGCAUCUCCC
rnacentral:snRNA from 1 species